rnacentral:rRNA from 1 species
GACGAACGCUGGCGGCGUGCCUUAGGCAUGCAAGUGGAACGAGCUAUCUUCGGAUAGUAAGUCGCGAACGGCUGAGUAACACGUAGGAAUCUACCCCUUGGCGGGGAAUACCUACUCGAAAGAGUAGUUAAUACCGCAUAAGAUCUAAAGAUGAAAGGACGUAACUGUCCACCGAGGGAGGAGCCUGCGGCCCAUCAGCUUGUUGGUAGGGUAAUAGCCUACCAAGGCUACGACGGGUAGGGGGCGUGAGAGCGUGUUCCCCCAGAAAGGCACUGAGACACGGGCCUUACACCUACGGGUGGCAGCAACCGGGAAUCGUGCGCAAUGGACGAAAGUCUGACGCCGCGACGCCGCGUGAGGGAUGACGGCCUUAGGGUUGUAAACCUCUUUUGCCAGAAGGGAGACCGACUGGAGAAUAAGCACCCGCUAACUACGUGCCAGCAGCUGCGGUAAUACGUAGGGUGCGAGCGUUGUCCGGAUUUAUUGGGCGUAAAGAGUUCGUAGGCUUUUUGGUAAGUUAUGUUUCAAAGACCGGGGCUUAACCUCGGAAAGGGGCAUAAUACUGCCAGAAUUGAAGAAUGUCGGGGCUACUGGAAUUGUCGGUGUAGGGGUGAAAUCCGUUGAUAUCGACAAGAACACCAAGGGCGAAGGCGGGUAGCUAGGCAUUUCUUGACGCUGAGGAACGAAAGCUAGGGUAGCGAAAGGGAUUAGAGACCCCUGUAGUCCUAGCCGUAAACGAUGCUCGCUAGGGAUGGGGAAUUUAUUUUCCGUCUCGCAAGCUAACGCGUUAAGCGAGCCGCCUGGGGAGUACGGUCGCAAGACUAAAACUCAAAGGAAUUGACGGGGACCUGCACAACCAGUGGAGCAUGUGGUUUAAUUCGAGACGAACCGAAGAACCUUACCUGGACUUGACAUACUAGUUGCACAUCUCUAGAGAUAGAGACUCUUUCGAAGGUACUAGAACAGGUGCUGCAUGGCUGUCGUCAGCUCGUGUCGUGAGGUGUUCCCUUCAGUGGGGUAACGAGCGCAACCCCCGCCGUAUGUUGAAUAUUCAUACGGGACUGCCCGAGUCAUUCUCGGGAGGAAGGCGGGGACGACGUCAAGUCAGCAUGGCCCUUAUGUCCAGGGCUACACACAUGCUACAAUGGAGCCGACAAUGGGUUGCCAAGUGGUAACACGGAGCUAAUCCCAUCAAACGGCUUCUCAGUGGGGAUUGAGGGCUGCAAUUCGCCCUCAUGAACGUGGGAUUGGUAGUAAUCGCGGAUCAGCUAAGCCGCGGUGAAUACGUUCUCAGGUCUUGUACACACCGCCCGUCAAGUUAGUGAAGUUGGAAGCACCCGAACCUCGAUUGAAUCGGGGGAAGGUGAGACCAGCGACAAGAAUU